rfam:Triticum aestivum genome assembly, contig: Triticum_aestivum_CS42_TGACv1_scaffold_405543_5BL
CUGGUAAGGGGUGCUCGGGUAGCCAGGGUGACUUGCCCAUGGAACCGCCGCACGCCUCGCUCCGUGGCAGAGAGCUGGGCUGCCAGGGGAGUUUCACAGGCAAAUCAUCCUUGGCUAUCGAAGAUGGCCUCUUACCC